UGGGGAAUUUUGGACAAUGGGGGAAACCCUGAUCCAGCCAUCCCGCGUGUGCGAUGAAGGCCUUCGGGUUGUAAAGCACUUUUGGCAGGAAAGAAACGUCAUGGGUUAAUACCCCAUGAAACUGACGGUACCUGCAGAAUAAGCACCGGCUAACUACGUGCCAGCAGCCGCGGUAAUACGUAGGGUGCAAGCGUUAAUCGGAAUUACUGGGCGUAAAGCGUGCGCAGGCGGUUCGGAAAGAAAGAUGUGAAAUCCCAGAGCUCAACUUUGGAACUGCAUUUUUAACUACCGGGCUAGAGUGUGUCAGAGGGAGGUGGAAUUCCGCGUGUAGCAGUGAAAUGCGUAGAUAUGCGGAGGAACACCGAUGGCGAAGGCAGCCUCCUGGGAUAACACUGACGCUCAUGCACGAAAGCGUGGGGAGCAAACAGG
rnacentral:rRNA from 1 species